ACGAGCGAUAGAGUGAGAGAGAGGCCUGAGAGCGAUAGAGUGAGAGAGAGGAGAGCUCGAGCGAGAGAGGAGCGAGGGCGCGAGACAGAGCGAGGUCAGUGGCUCUGUGCGAGAAACAGAGAAAGCAAGAGGCAGCAGUGAGUAAAUUAUGGAGGUGACAAUCGAGGAAGCGGCAAAAUUGACCGAUGUUACUCCGGAGCACAAC
rnacentral:lncRNA from 1 species